AUUGAACGCUGGCGGCAUGCUUUACACAUGCAAGUCGAACGGUAACAGGUCUUCGGAUGCUGACGAGUGGCGAACGGGUGAGUAAUGCAUCGGAACGUGCCCAGUCGUGGGGGAUAACGCAGCGAAAGCUGCGCUAAUACCGCAUACGAUCUAUGGAUGAAAGCGGGGGACCUUCGGGCCUCGCGCGAUUGGAGCGGCCGAUGUCAGAUUAGGUAGUUGGUGGGGUAAAGGCUCACCAAGCCAACGAUCUGUAGCUGGUCUGAGAGGACGACCAGCCACACUGGAACUGAGACACGGUCCAGACUCCUACGGGAGGCAGCAGUGGGGAAUUUUGGACAAUGGGCGAAAGCCUGAUCCAGCAAUGCCGCGUGCAGGAAGAAGGCCUUCGGGUUGUAAACUGCUUUUGUACGGAACGAAACGGUCUGGAUUAAUACUCUGGGCUAAUGACGGUAC
rnacentral:rRNA from 1 species